GGCGAGUUAGGAAAGCGGUUAUCCAGUAGAUUGCAAAUCUAUCUAGUCCGGUUCGACUCCGGAACUCGCCUCCA
rnacentral:tRNA from 1 species